GAUUAAGGGUUUCAGGGAUGUUUGCUGUCAGCGGAGGUUUCAGCAUCACCAGCAGAAUCCCAAGAGCAUCAUAGCCAUCCACCGCGAGGAUGUCAACGUGUGGGAGAGACGUGCUCCUCUGGCACCAUGACACGCCAGUGAGAUCACAGCAGCUGGGCACAAGGUCUCCAACAGACGAGGCAUCCACGACAGACACAUGGUACACAACUACAGAAAUGUCAGCCAGGCCAUCCAGGCAAUGAGGGAUUGUGGGUAUGAAAUAUCCUUAGGUCUGAAGCCCAAGUCUAUUGGACCUCUCACAUUUGUGUUCACUGGCACCGGCAAUGUGUCCAAGGCUGUAAUUACCUCCAAUGGGAAGAUGACUUAUUCUGAAGAUUUCUUCAAAGGUUGAAAGACCGGUAAAAACAUUGCCACAUCCCAGAGCUCAACAACCUGUAGUCUUGAUAUGCUCUCUUCUCGCUAUAGAUCAAACUGCUUUAAGUUAAACACCCCAAUUCCUCUUGAAAAUGUCAGAAACUACACACGUAUUGGUGCUUUUGAAUGAUAAUGUAAAUGUUUCUGUAUUAUUUGAGACAGAUUUGUCCUAAUGAAACCUGUGCAAAACAAAGCCUGUUUAGCUCAGUUUUGUGAAGCUAAUGAAUUUCCCUGGAUGAGUUUGAAACAUUAGACCUUAGUGAGUUCAUACACUGGAAACGUAAAGAGAAAACAAGUUGCUGACCGUGUUUGUUUUGUUCAGACACCGGUUGUGUGCCUCCUUGUGCACUGCCUUAACACCUUGCUUGGCUAGAGAACACGUCCGCUGAGUGCGUUCAACUCUCAUGGGUAGACAAUCUUACUCUUUCACUGCAGCCGCAGUCUCUCCCACUCGCUCUUUUUCUUGGAUUCUUCUGCAUGCCAGGAAAAGAAAUCAAUGCACCAGUUCUUUUUUAGUUUAAGUUUAAUUAUUCUCCAAGGUAAGCUUGUUUUGCAUGAGCCAAUUCAUGGCCAUUAAUUGAUUAUAUCACGUUUUUGAAUCAUUUUCAUUAAAUGGAAUAGCUCAUUCCUUUCAUUUUUUUUCUUAUUCAAGACAUAAUCAAAGCUUCUUUCCGCAGUCAACAUGUCUUUCUCAAAACACUCUCUUUUGCGCUGUCUCGGUCUCAUUCAGUGGUGAAGAACCAGGUGGACAAAACAUUGCACUGAAUUUGCAAGUCUGUUUGUAUCCAUUGUGGCCUAAACUUAAAGGAGCCGCCCACAAGCCAACAUUGAUCUCUUUUUAAUCAAAGGAAAACACCAUUUGACUGUUUUGAUUUACUUGUGUUCUUGUCCUGUCUAAGAACUGUGGCAAACAAUAGAAUCUGUUCUACGACAUUGAUUAAGCGUAAAUUUAGCGCAAAACUAGCCCAAAAAUGAGUUCCUUACCGCAUUAUCAAGCAGCUGGGUCCGUUGAACUAUCAAAUAGCCCUUUAAGACACUGGAGAAGAUGUACGUACAGCACAUGUUUGCAAAAUAUAAAAAUGUGUUAUCCAACGCAGGCAGAACUGGAGAUACAAGAAAAGAAAAAACUCCUGGAUAUAUUUCAAGAAUCCUCUGAUGACGAAGAUUUUCUAGGAUUUUAGUCUGCA